rnacentral:sRNA from 1 species
UAUUGGUCGAGUUGAAAGGAACAUCCUU